CCUACGUGGGGCAGCAGUGGGGAAUAUUGGACAAUGGGGGGAACCCUGAUCCAGCCAUGCCGCGUGUGUGAAGAAGGCCCUCGGGUUGUAAAGCACUUUCAGUGAGGAAGAACGCCUGGUGGUUAAUACCCAUCAGGAAAGACAUCACUCACAGAAGAAGCACCGGCUAACUCCGUGCCAGCAGCCGCGGUAAUACGGAGGGUGCGAGCGUUAAUCGGAAUUACUGGGCGUAAAGCGCGCGUAGGUGGCUUGAUAAGCCGGUUGUGAAAGCCCCGGGCUCAACCUGGGAACGGCAUCCGGAACUGUCAAGCUAGAGUGCAGGAGAGGAAGGUAGAAUUCCCGGUGUAGCGGUGAAAUGCGUAGAGAUCGGGAGGAAUACCAGUGGCGAAGGCGGCCUUCUGGACUGACACUGACACUGAGGUGCGAAAGCGUGGGUAGCAAACAGGAUUAGAUACCCUGGUAGUC
rnacentral:rRNA from 1 species